rnacentral:rRNA from 1 species
UACAGAGACUGCAAGCGUUAUUCGGAUUCACUGGGCGUAAAGGGUGCGUAGGCGGUGAAAUAAGUUGGAUGUGAAAUCCCGGAGCUUAACUCCGGAACUGCAUUCAAUACUGUUUUGCUAGAGUACUGGAGAGGAGAUUGGAAUUCACGGUGUAGCAGUGAAAUGCGUAGAUAUCGAGAGGAACACCAGUGGCGAAGGCGAGUCCCUGGACAACACCUGACACUGAGGCACGAAAGCUAGGGGAGCAAACAGG